rnacentral:lncRNA from 1 species
AGGAGAGGCUCGGCUGCAGGAAGCUACGCGCUCUGGCCGCCCUGCGCGGGGUGUGCGCUCCGCCGAGCCCGGCGGGCACAGCCCAAAGCGCUCCGAAAGGCCGGGGGUGCGCUCGGGGGCACCGCAAACACCUCUCGCCCCCUCAGUCCGGUGACUUAUGCUUUCGGUAGGAUAUUCUCCUCUUAAAUAGAAAAGCGUGGGACUUAGGAACUAAGAUGGCACGCUCUGCAAGCGCUGCCCACAUGGGAUGGAAUCGCUCCAGGAAUAGGUACGCGCGGCGAUUCCUGAGGAGUGGGGAGGGCUGGGGUGAGGAACAUCAUUUAAAGGGAUCCUGACACGUUCACCACUUUCUCUCUACCAGUCACAGGAGCAGACACUGUCUGAUGCUAAGGCUGUUGCCGCUUUCCAGACUUGAGCCUCCUGAAAUGCAGCACUAUCCUCCCCCGCCCCCCACCCCGCCCUGCGCCAGCAGCCUCAUUAGCCAGCCUUGUAGUUCGUGUUUUCUCCCCCCUUUCUUUAGUUCCACUCGCCUACUGCAUUUUUGCAAAUUUGUUUUGAGAUCACUUUACCAGAGGAGCCAGGGGCUCCUUAAGGGAUACUAAUUACUGAUUUUUUUUUCUUCCUGACUGACAGGCCCUUGCAUGGUUUCUUCCAUUUCCCCAAAAAUAUUUAAAGAAAAAGGAAAAAUGGAAAGAACUUUUUUCCAGCUCUUCAAAGAUUUUUGGGGAAAAGCACGUUUCUUAACAGCCCGGAUCUGCUGAGUUGAGUCAAAUCUGUGAGCUAAAGCUCUGCAUGGCAGGAGAGCGGGGCUUGGCGUUGUUCACCGGGAGAUCUACAGUGCAUGCUUGGAGAGAAACCAAGCAUGCACCAACCCAGAAAGACUUCGUUGGAAAUUCGGAGAUGUCGCAACCAGUUCUUGGGAGGUCGUUCAUUAGAAAAGUGCCCAUCUCUCGGCGCUCCAAAGGAGCGGUGCGGAGCAAAUUGUCUCCUGGGGACUGGAGGGGGCUUGCCCAGACAGCUCCCGGCAGGGGCUGUGGUGGGAUAUGCUAAUAAAGACUGGCCGCUGCGGACCAGCCUCCCUGUCCACGUAUAUAUAAGGGCCCCCCGCAUCAGCCCAAGGACACUUGUUCUCGGGUCGCUAAUUACGGAGGAAAUUGCCCCAGCGCUGCGGAGCGCCUCGCCGAGAGCCGGUGGCCGCCGUCCCGCA